GCCAAGUGGAGGGGUGUGCGGCCAUACCUGUCCUUGGCGUUAAGGGCACUGGAGGGUAUGAGGGCAGACACACACUCAGCACUGCCCCGCUCAGCAGCCAAGUGGAGGGGUGUGCGGCCAUCCUUGUCUUUGGCGUUAAGGGCACUGGAGGGUAUGAGGGCAGACACACACUCAGCACUGCCCCGCUCAGCAGCCAAGUGGAGGGGUGUGCGGCCAUACCUGUCCUUGGCGUUAAGGUCACUGGAGGGUAUGAGGGCAGACACACACUCAGCACUGCCCCGCUCAGCAGCCAAGUGGAGGGGUGUGCGGCCAUACAUGUCCUUGGCGUUAAGGUCACUGGAGGGUAUGAGGGCAGACACACACUCAGCACUGCCCCGCUCAGCAGCCAAGAGGAGGGGUGUGCGGCCAUACCUGUCCU